GAUGAGCGCUGGCGGCGUGCCUAAUACAUGCAAGUCGAGCGAACGGACGAGAAGCUUGCUUCUCUGAUGUUAGCGGCGGACGGGUGAGUAACACGUGGAUAACCUACCUAUAAGACUGGGAUAACUUCGGGAAACCGGAGCUAAUACCGGAUAAUAUUUUGAACCGCAUGGUUCAAAAGUGAAAGACGGUCUUGCUGUCACUUAUAGAUGGAUCCGCGCUGCAUUAGCUAGUUGGUAAGGUAACGGCUUACCAAGGCAACGAUGCAUAGCCGACCUGAGAGGGUGAUCGGCCACACUGGAACUGAGACACGGUCCAGACUCCUACGGGAGGCAGCAGUAGGGAAUCUUCCGCAAUGGGCGAAAGCCUGACGGAGCAACGCCGCGUGAGUGAUGAAGGUCUUCGGAUCGUAAAACUCUGUUAUUAGGGAAGAACAUAUGUGUAAGUAACUGUGCACAUCUUGACGGUACCGAAGCAGAAAGCCACGGCUAACUACGU
rnacentral:rRNA from 1 species